UCACAUUAAAAUGAUUUUGAUGUGUAAUGAACAGAUGAACAUGUCAGAUGUUCCAGCUCACUGCUGGGAGCCUCAUCCGCAUAAUCUUUAAUUUUGCUUCUAAUAAUAACACUGAUUGGCAAAUUAAAUAAAAAAAAUGUAAAGCUACUCAAUACGGUUUCUUUGAAACAUCAAGCUGAUUGUGGUCCUGAAAACACAUCAGUUCUGUCCUAACAAUACGAAGACCGGUUCUAAACGCUUUCCGUAGAAAGGUGAAACGUUUCUGUCUAACAAACGUCGUCUUUCGUCUUUCAGAUCUUCACUCUCUGCUAUUCGGCAGCGAGCCGCCAGGAGGCCGAUAGCCAACCGCUAACAUUUGAUUGAAUUAUCCCUCAACAUGAUGUGGCAGUAAACUGUUAUUCCUCCAUCUUACCAGCCCUCUGCUGUCUCGCCCCUGAGCGACGACUUUCAUCCUCUCUCAUUUCUCUGCUGUCAUACACAUACUGGCACUCGUCUGCCGCCGCGAUGGCUUCGGCCUUUUGCUCAUUUACGGCUCUGUAUUCCCGACAGGCCGUCUGAUUCCCGAGGGGAGGCCUGUGGAGGACGCUCUGUUGAAUUUACGGUCGUAUAUAAAUAUAUAUGAGCGUGCGGUUCUCUCAGAUUGAAAACAUAUACCUGAGACGAUUGCCUGCUAUGAAGUUCAUUCCAGGGGUAAUGCUGUUUUCCCCCCAUCUCGUCAGCUCCUUCAAAGAACGCAUCCUAUUUUAAGGCAUGAGAGAUAUAUGGAAAGGAACAGGGUAAAUAUUUGAGAGUAUCUCAGCCUCAUUUCUUGGAUUAAUUUAGUUUCUUCGACUGGCUGCUCCACUGGUCAGGUCAUUCUAGUCAGAGUAACUUGAGGAGAGAAUGCUUUUUCACUCGUGUUUAUGUUGCAGCUGCAUUUCAGGAAUUGAGAACACAAGCUGCUUGUUGAACAUGGUUUCUGCAGACAUGAGUUGCAAUAAGAAAUAUAUUAACAGGACUCAUGGAGGCUUGUCCAAAAAGAGCCAUCAGACCGGCUUGCAUGUGUGCCAAGCUCUAUUAUGAAAAUCCCGCAAACCACUUAAACUAGCGAGUCGCCAUAGGCUGUUAGACAAUCGCUAACAUUUGAUUAAACGGCUAUAACACCAGCCAGAAGUUCAUCAGGCUUACAUCUGAACCAGAAGCUGUAUAUUGAAGAAAAUCCCUCAAGCAGCUUGCACUGCAAGGUGAACUACUGUCAUAAUGGUGGAGUGACGGUUUGAAGAGUUAGCAUCUUACCAAAGCUCGACAGCAUCCGUCUCUAUUAUGAAUAAGCACUGACUCUGCAACUCUCUGGUUUUUGUAGUCCGCUGAAGAGAAGUCAAAACAGGAUGAAGUGUCACAUGUGGCUUUUCUUGAGAGGUUUCGGGAGAUUUUCCUAGACAUCGGAAGACGAAAGUCGUUCUUCCACGAGCUCCAGACCGAAAGCGGUACUUCCCAGGCCCAGGGCCACGUUCUGCUGUCUGGAGAUGUCAAUGCCAGGACCGGUCCUGAGUGUGACAGCGCCGGAGCUCUCGGGAAUAAACUCUCAGUCAGAAGCGCUCCGUACCUGCUCUCCGGACUGAAGAGAAGAGAGAAAGUGCAUGAAGCAAAUGGCAUGUUCCUCUAAAGUGUGUUCAGGUGACAUGCUACGGCGAAGCGUCCGGUCGAAGCGUCCGCGGCUCUCCCCGUAAUGAGGCAGCGGAGGAAAUGAGCGAGUGAAUGUGUGGAGGUGUAAUAGACGGAGGGAGAAAUGGAAAGAGAUGAAUCGCUAGCAGAUAGAUAAUUGGAAAGAGGCUCUCUGGAGAAGGCUGGUGUAAUUAGAACGGAGGAGUGUGUGAGGAAUCUAAAUGUUUCUGUGUUUGGGUCCAUGUCCUGUAGAGCCACUCAGACACACGGGUCCAUCUGUUUCCUGCUGCUUCACCUGCAUCCAGACACGACGGCAGCUGGCCCUUUCUAUGGUUCUGAGUGCGUGCGGAUUGAUCGUAUCUCGUCACAUAAACACAAGUAUGUCUGGAAACAGACGCUCACUUAGUUGUGCACGAGGGCCGCCGUUAACGUAAACGCUCCUCUGCUUUCAGUAAGCAAGUAAGUUAAAGUCAGCUUAUACUUUCUAUUAAAAUUCAUGCUAUAGUUUAUAAUUGUGUAUCAUUUAUAAUAUAGUAUCAUUUAAUGUGCGUAUUUCUAUUAUAUUAAGCACUAAAAAGCGCUAACGUGGACACCUUUCAAAAUAAAAAUAAUAAUAUCAACAAUAAUAGCCAUUAUGAACUGUGUUUAUUAUAUAUUACUUCAGUGUGUUACAUUGGAUGCCGUAUACUUGUACUAUGUGUUAAAAAAAAAAAACACUUAAAUAUUAGCCUUGACCCUAUAGCUUGCGAUCUCUAUUCUAAUUCUGAUCUUUAAAAAAAACUUGCAUUAUUUUCAUUUACUUACUGCUUUUCUUAUAAAAAAAAACACUAGCUUCUCUAUUCUUUCGGUUCCUUUUCUUUUUAUUUAUUACACAAUUAAUUACAAAAACAAAAGCUUAAAGCUUGCUCUAUUCUUUUUCUAUUCUGUUUCAUUUUUAUUAUGUAACGUGAAAAUUCCUUGUCCUUUUUAUGCUAACUGAGACUCGUAAUAGAACGUGAAUAUAUUUCUCUCUUGCUGGUAGUGAUUACUUCUGUUGUCCUUGUUUGUAAAAACGUCUGGUAAAUGUUCAAUUUACAGUUAGUUACAGGAACAUCUGUGUUGUGUGUAUUUGCAUAGAAUGUGUUUUCUGCGUGCAAGGUUUUUAACGAUUGUAUCAGAUUAAUUGGAUUCAGUGCCAUUCUUCAAAAACCUAACAUUAAUACUCUCGCAUUAAUAAACAGCAUACGGUGAUUAUUUGUGAAACUGUACAUAGCAACUAUUUUUUUAUAUAGUUUUGUAACACCGUUGUACCUUUUUUUUUAACAAAAGAAGAAUAAAAUGAAGAAAAAAGCUCAAAUAGAGAGCAUGGUGAAAUUAAUAUGCACAAACUUUUAAGAAUUUAUACCAUCAGUGCAUUGUAUGUUUCUUCAGAUAAAAGCAUCUGUCAAAUGCAUAAAUAUAGACAACCUGAGAGUAGUUGUUAAACCGGCUCGCACGCAGUUUUAUUUUCAGUCUGUGCGCCUGAAAUAUGACAUAAUAAUAAUAAUAUAGUUGACCCUAUAUGAGAAAAGGUUACAAACCCUAAUAAAAGCAUCAAGAUUUAACCAGCAUUUCUGUUAUUGGUGCGUUGACCCACAGCAAUAAUAUAAACGUUAAUACAGUGUUUUCAUUUAGACAUUACUGUAGUAUUAGAUCAACUUUGACCCCGUUUGUCACUAGGGUGCAGAAGCACAGCUAAUAACUGGACAAGUCACAUCGUGUACCAUCGCACAGGCCUGAACAAAAGGUUCUCACGCUCUAAAAGAUACCACUUCAACAUGUAAUGCAUCCAAAAUGUG